GGACCGCUGCUGUACAGGUUGAGCAUCCCUAAUUCGAAAAUCCAAAAUCUGUAAUGUUUCAAAAUCUGAAACUUUGUGUGUGCUGACAUGACUUCAGAAGUGGUAUCACGGGAUGGGUCAUGGUCAAAACGCAUUCAAAAAUGUUUCAUGCCCAAAAUUGUUAAAAAUAUUGUAUAAAAUUACCUUUAGGAUAUAUUUAGAAGAUGUAUAUGAAACAUAAAUGAAUUUUGUGUUUAGACUUGGGUCCCCUCCCUAAGAUAUCUCAUGUAUAUGCAAAUACUCCAAGAUCCAAAAAAAGAAAAAAGAAAAAUCCAAAAUCUGAAACCCUUCUCGUCCCAAGCAUUUUGGAUAAGGGAUACUCAACCUGUAUAUGCCAUGUUUUUUCCUAUCUAUACCUACCUGUGAUGAAGUUUAACUUAUAAAUUAGGCACAAUAAGGGAUUAACUACAAGUAUAAAUAGAACAGUUAUAACAAAUAAAAAUUAAAUUAAUGAAAAUUGUGUGAAUGUAGUCUCUCUUUUUCUCAAGAUAGCUUGUUGUGCUGUACUCACCCUUCUCUUGCUGAUAUGAGAUGACAGAUUGCCACGUGAUGAGAUGGGUGAAAGAUGUAGGCAUGUGACGUAGCACAGGCUGCUGUUGGCCUUCUGAUGCUGCGUUGGGAGGAUCGUCCGCUUCACGUGAUCCUGGAUCAUCAAGCCGUGAUGACAUCAAUGACUCCUGCAAAGGCGACCAGCAGUUUGUGUGUUGAGAUUAACCCCAGCGAUGCUCCUUCUGACUCUUCCAGCCCUGGCGAAUGUGCCCCACAAGGAUUAGAGGUCAAAUUCCUGGAAUAGCUGUUAAGGUUGGAGGAAGGAGUGACUAAAUCUGUGAUGAUCCUGCUACUAGAUUUUUAUCUCCCUUGCAUAAAUGGUUCCACAGUCCACCUGCAAAAGACAGGCAUAAGAGAAAAGACAGUUAAGGUAGCAUCUGGUUUCUCCAUUGCUGCGGUGGGCAUACAAAUGCAUCACUCAGAUCUCCUGUCGUGGGGAGCGUAACUGAUGAAAUGUCCUGGCUGCUGCACUCAGAAUCCAUCUGCUUGAGGACUUCGCUUCCCACUGACCUCUCCUGGCCAAUGACUCUACUAGUAUGGCAAUUAGUAUCUUUUAUUGUGUUUUGUUGUUGUUGUUUAUCAAGCUCAUGUUAUCCACCUCAAAAUUCAAGUUACCUAAAUAAGAAUAAUGGAGCAAACUGUCAAGAGGCAAAGCAAGACAUCCUAGUGUCACGCUUAUAAGAGCUACAAAACCCAGUACUAAGAAAGAACAUUUCUUUACGCUAAACACUGAAACUAGUUUUCCUUCUCUUUGGAUGUAGAUAUAGCUCUAGUUGUGUGCAUGUGCAGUGAUAGAAAGGUGAGUGGGGAGAACUGUUUUAUGGGGCCAUGAUUUGCUUACAUUAGUGAAAAUAUAUCAAUGGCAGUUUUACUCUUAAAGUCUAGACAGAGCACACAAUAACAGAUAAUUGAAAUUUACAGGCAUGUUCAAGAAAUGGUGGGUAAAGCUUUUAAUACCAACAAUCAUAAGAGCACGGAUUCAAAAUAAGGAUAAUAUCUUACAUUUAUAUAGUACUAAAAGGUUUGCAAAGUGCUUUUAUAUAUAUUAUUUAGUUUUAUCUUCACAAUAACCCUGUGCUAGGUAGAGAAAGUAUUGUUAUUCCUGUUUGAUAUAUGGGAGAAAUUAUAUUUUUUCACAAACAGAAAAAUUAAAGAAAGAAAGUUAAUUGGAAUGCCCAUGGAUUAUAAAAAGUGUAUCUGAAACUUGGCGUAAGAAGCACUCAGUUUCUGAAACUACCUACUGUUAUGCCUGGAAAUUUUCAUUUCUUUUGUAAUAUUUAUAAUUGCUAAUAUACUAGAAUCAGUGUUCCCAACUGGUAGAGAACCCUCACUUAAAUCUAUAAUUUCUUUUGCUGCUCUUUGUAAUCAGGAUUUAAUAAAUAAAAUAACACAAGCACUGAACACGAAUCUUUUUUCUUUGACAUUGCAGCUUUAAACCCUUUCGAUUGCCAUCGGUUA